GGGAGGCCUGAUCCUGCUUUGAGGAGAGGCAGUGGCACAGCUCAAGUUUGGCUCAUACAUCGUCUCACCUGCAUCCUUGAUUUGCAGUAUCCUUUGAGGUUUGGCUCUGCCAGUGGUUAGAAAAGAUGUUGUUUGUCUGAAGAGACAAGGGUGUGGUGAAAAUACUCUGUGCCGGCCAAGUGAACCAAAACACUAUCUGAAUUACUACGGUGGCUGGAAAACUAAAUUUAACUGACAGAAGAUCUGGACCCUACCUGUGCUGAGAGGCAGAGAGAAAAAGAAUCACAGAAAAAAAAGAAUUGCCAUGUACAGUUGGAGGUUUUACCUGCUGGGUCUCAUC